ACUCUCUUAGUAUAACUAGUACAAUUGACUUCCAAUCACUCAGCCUCGGUAAGACCCGAGAGAGAGUA
rnacentral:tRNA from 1 species